CAGUAUUUGGAAAGUAGCACCGAGAAAAAUAGGCUUUUACAUUGUUUCGGCGCUGCUGCUUCGCAGAGACGAAUAUAUUAUGUAAUUGGGUUGUCCGGAAAGUUCAUGCCGAUUUUCGGAAGGUGGCGUUGGGGUAGCUGCGAACAUAUCGGAAUCGUUAAAACCAAACGACCUGUGUACACUUUCGGACAAGUGACAUUUCAACCAGGUUCACGGCGAUGUUUGGUUAGGAUAAAUUGAUUUGCGUCAGUUUUGAAGUCUGUUGACGGUGGGAGAAGAUAAAGUACGUUUCAGACAUUUAAUUGUUAUCUUACGGAGAAGAUGUUUUAGCCGAAAAAACUGUGCGCAAGCGGUGACGAUAUUGGAUGAAGACAUUGAUCGAAAGUAAAACCCGCGCAAUGGAGAAAGCGGUGCCUUAGUGUCGCAAGUGUAAAGGGUUAAUAUUUCCGACGUAUCAUGGACACGCGAAGCGAUUCGGUGUUCGCGCAAAGGUCAAGACUCUGGACAAUAGCGAGCAGUUGGCGAACGAAAGGAACGAAAGUUGGUCAAUGCGUGGUCCAUUGAGCCGCGUGUCGACAAAGUUGUCGCUGUGUCUCUCGAGAACAAUGGCGGAGUCAUCGAGCACCUGUAAAUAUUUGCAACCGUGACCAUUCAUUCGAUCCAGUUCAAGGUAUAUCCGUGAACACAGGAGAACGAAGCCCGCGAGUGUGUAAGGUUUCAAUGAAAUAAGCGGUCCCAAGGUCUUGCACUCUCCACGUUACACGAUUAUUAGUACAGAUUACAUCUGUAGUAAGCGUACUAUGGGACUCAACGUAAUCGGUUCCCGCAAGGUGUUGAUCGAGCAAGCGCGAUCGCGUGACUUGCCCUACGAUCCCGUGAUUGAUCCUGCGAUCACGCAACUCGCCCGUUAACGAGUUCGAACGAUUUGAAAAAAUAGUUUGUUCGUUCGCGCAAUGUCGCAGAGCGUGUCACGUGUCGUUCGACGCGUAUAAACGGCUCGAUUGCGCGCGAUCUUAAACAAGCAAAAGCGGAUUAACGACGUGCGAAGAAACUUUGUCGGGAACCCGGCAAUUUCGAGCGAAACGAACGGACAUUUUCGUGUCUCGGACCGUUUAACAACCGAUCGGCUUUCCGUACAGCGAUGUAAUUAUCCCCGGGGGAUAAAGAACAGACCGGAGCGGGCCCAAAGCGUAGCGGAGCGGCGUCGAGAAGAAACAUUUUCCCGGGCGACAACGUUUCUGCUUGGUUAUUUUCUCUGCCCCGCAUUCUCGGCAUCGCCGCGCGGGCAUUACAAGUGUCUGGUCGCGGGUUUUUGCCACCGUACGCCGAAGUGAACGGACUAAAUGAAGUAAAUGGAUGAACGGUGAAUAAUGGAUGAAGCGGAGUUAGCGGCGCGCGUACAGGCGAUGCCCGCUUCUUGCUCGGCCCCGUCGACGUUAACUCGGCUUAUUAUCGACUAGUUAUCAGGAAGGACAACGUUCGUCAGUGUACUCGGGAUUCCGUGGCUAAUUGUUAACUAGACCGGGGGUGAUCAUGCAAAUGCCGGCGGUGAUGCGUAACUUAACACCUCGAGUACCGCGUCGGUCACGUUGUAGUCUUGACUAGCUUUUUUUUUCAAAAUUAGUUUGCGAUAUAUUCAAACAAAAUUGAAUUUUACCAGGAUGCUUGGAAUGCGAAAGACGUCAAAUAUCGUACGUUGUGAUAAAUUUUGCCUCUCCGGUUUCAGUUUUAUCAGUUAAAUUACUUCGAUUUUGCGGCGAAUAUUUAGAGUUGAUUUUUCACGAAUAUUCUCGAUGUUUCAACUGUUCUAAUCUCGCGAGAUCGUUGUUGUACAAUGAUAAAUCUGCGCUCACUUUAAAGUCCGAAGCUUCCUCUUUUGCUACAAAUGUUUCGUGGAACGCGUUCUCGCACGAUAUACCCAAGCGGAAAACUGGAGACACUGGUCUCCAAGAUCGAUAGAAAUUUUGCUCGCGAACGAAUCGAUCAUGGAUUCCAAGAUUAAAGUGUUCUCUUUGCAACGA